UACGUAGGGUGCAAGCGUUGUCCGGAAUUAUUGGGCGUAAAGAGCUCGUAGGCGGUUUGUUGCGUCGGCUGUGAAAUCCCGAGGCUCAACCUCGGGUCUGCAGUCGAUACGAGCAAACUAGAGUGUUGCAGGGGAGACUGGAAUUCCUGGUGUAGCGGUGAAAUGCGCAGAUAUCAGGAGGAACACCGGUGGCGAAGGCGGUUGCCUGGAGCUUUGCUGACGCUGAGGCGCGAAAGCGUGGGGAGCGAUCCGG
rnacentral:rRNA from 1 species